GGAUAUCAAUAUUCAUAAAAGAAAAAUAAGGAUGAAAAAGUGACGGAAAUCGUCGUUUUCGCUCAAAUUGGAAAAUUGAGCGUUUUAGCCAAAAUUUGGCAAAAUCGAUUAGCGGAGUCUAAAUAGUGAGUUGGCGGAAGAGUAUUAUUUAUUUGGACAUAAAUAAUACGAAAUUUAUCGAGAUUUAACGAUUGAGUGAUUUUUGGACUAAAUUGAGCAAAAGAAAAGCUUAGGACUAAAUGUUGAGGAGGUGGCUUCAUUAAGGGUUGAAGUGCAUUUUUGCCAUAAAUAUAUAUAGUCAAUUAAAUGAUUAAGAUCAGAAUAUACACCCCAAUUCUCAGCUCAAACCCUCACCAUCUUCAUCUUCUCAACUCCAUAUGAAAACCAAACUUCAAUUCACCAUAACUUAUUCGUUUUAGCUCGGUUUUGGUCGAUUCUUGCGGCAACGGAAAGAGGAGAACCAUACCUACUGAUUGAGCCCAAUAAAUCAAGACAAACCGAGAGGCGACGGGAUCGACGGUUUUGGCCUAGGAGUAUUCGGCCAAGACUAAUGCAUGUAAAUGAUUUGGAUUGGAAAGCAAGGAGUACCUAGACUUGGAGUGACUAGAAGUCCAUCAUUUUUCCGGGAGUCUGUCUUGCCAUGUACAGACCGGCUUCCGUGACCGCUGCAGUAGUACAUUGUGUGACCAGUCAUGACCUAGGACAAUAUUAUAGUUUUGAAAAAUGUUUAUAACGAUGUUAGAUUUACGUAACCAGUGUUUACAAAAUAACUAUUAAUGUUUUCAUAAUUAAAUGCUUCCGUGUUAUAACAAUUUUUGUGCGAAAAAUUUAUAGUGAAUUUCAGGCUUGCUACGGGAUUCGGAACUACAAUUCCCAUU